UACGGAGGGUGCGAGCGUUGUCCGGAAUUACUGGGCGUAAAGGGCGCGUAGGCGGCCUGGUAAGUAGGGGGUGAAAUCCUGCGGCUUAACCGCAGGGCUGCCUUCUAAACUGUCAGGCUAGAGCACAGUAGAGGCAGGUGGAAUUCCCGGUGUAGCGGUGGAAUGCGUAGAGAUCGGGAAGAACAUCAGUGGCGAAGGCGGCCUGCUGGGCUGUUGCUGACGCUGAGGCGCGACAGCGUGGGGAGCAAACAGG
rnacentral:rRNA from 1 species